GAUGAACGCUAGCGGCAGGCCUAACACAUGCAAGUCGAGGGGCAGCACGUCUUCGGAUGGUGGCGACCGGCGCACGGGUGCGUAACGCGUAUGCAACCUACCUCUUACAGUGGGAUAGCCCAGAGAAAUUUGGAUUAAUACCGCAUAGUAUACAGAUUCAGCAUUGGGACUGUAUUAAACAUUUAUGGGUAAGAGAUGGGCAUGCGUUCUAUUAGUUAGUUGGAGUGGUAACGGCACCCCAAGACAGCGAUAGAUAGGGGCCCUGAGAGGGGGAUCCCCCGANACUGGUACUGAGACACGGACCAGACUCCUACGGGAGGCAGCAGUGAGGAAUAUUGGACAAUGGGC
rnacentral:rRNA from 1 species